AGUGAAAACAAUGGGCUAGCUGUGCUGUGGUUCUCCUGAUUAAAACUCCAGCUUGUAAAGUCCCAUGUGGGUCCCAUCAGACCCCAUAUUUGCGGUGAAGUACAAAAUAUCACUUUUGACAAUCAACUCACGUGUACCAUGGAGUUUUUAAGAAGCCACCUGAUGUGAUAGCUCAGCAGACUGAAUGCAGAAGAUGGAAGAGUCCGGAUUGCUUCUACCUUGCUCCUCAAAGUGAGAUCCUUGAACCAGCAACUUUGGCAGUCUCUCAGAGGGAGAAAUGCAGCAUCCCAGGUACCUCCACAGUUCUAGGAAUCAGAAGCCAAGUUGUAACAAGAUCCCCAG